rnacentral:tRNA from 1 species
GCCCCUGUAGCUCAGCAGGAUAGAGCAACGGAUUCCUAAUCCGUGUGCCGCGUGUUCGAAUCACGCCAGGGGCACCA